rnacentral:rRNA from 1 species
CGGACGGGUGAGUAACGCGUGGGGAACCUGCCCUGUACAGGGGGAUAACACUUAGAAAUAGGUGCCAAUACCGCAUAAGCGCACAGUAUCGCAUGAUACAGUGUGAAAAACUCCGGUGGUACAGGAUGGACCCGCGUCUGAUUAGCUGGUUGGCGGGGUAACGGCCCACCAAGGCGACGAUCAGUAGCCGGCCUGAGAGGGUGAACGGCCACAUUGGGACUGAGACACGGCCCAAACUCCUACGGAAGGCAGCAG